AUUGAACGCUGGCGGCAGGCCUAACACAUGCAAGUCGAGCGGAUGAAGGGAGCUUGCUCCUGGAUUCAGCGGCGGACGGGUGAGUAAUGCCUAGGAAUCUGCCUGGUAGUGGGGGAUAACGUCCGGAAACGGGCGCUAAUACCGCAUACGUCCUGAGGGAGAAAGUGGGGGAUCUUCGGACCUCACGCUAUCAGAUGAGCCUAGGUCGGAUUAGCUAGUUGGUGGGUUAAAGGCCUACCAAGGCGACGAUCCGUAACUGGUCUGAGAGGAUGAGCAGUCACAGUGGAACUGAGGCAAGGACCAGACGCCUCCGGGAGGCAGCAGUGGGGAAUAUUAGGAAAGGGGCGGAUGUCUGAUCCAGCUCUACCGGGUGAGUGAAGAAGGUCUUCGGAUUGUAAAGCCCUUUUAUUGGGAAAGAAAAGCAGCCGAUUGAUCCCCGGCUGGUAUGACGGUACCCAAUGAGUAAGCCCCGGCUAACGUCGUG
rnacentral:rRNA from 1 species